GGUUGAUCCUGCCAGUAGUCAUAUGCUUGUCUCAAAGAUUAAGCCAUGCAUGUCUAAGUAUAAACUGCUUAUACUGUGAAACUGCGAAUGGCUCAUUAAAUCAGUUAUAGUUUAUUUGAUGGUACCAUGCUACUCGGAUAACCGUUUUACGAGAGUUAUUGCGGUAGGAAAGGUUCAAAGCCUUUCCUAGUGGCUUGAAUCCAAGCUGCGACACUGUCAAAUUGCCUGGAAAUCCUGCUAUGGCAGAAGGGACCGUCCGGCUGGGGAAACCCGCCCAGACACCUGCGGUGAAA
rnacentral:rRNA from 1 species